rnacentral:rRNA from 1 species
AUUGAACGCUGGCGGCAGGCCUAACACAUGCAAGUCGAACGGUAACAUUUCUAGCUUGCUAGAAGAUGACGAGUGGCGGACGGGUGAGUAAUGCUUGGGAACUUGCCUUUGCGAGGGGGAUAACAGUUGGAAACGACUGCUAAUACCGCAUAAUGUCUUCGGACCAAACGGGGCUUCGGCUCCGGCGCAAAGAGAGGCCCAAGUGAGAUUAGCUAGUUGGUAAGGUAACGGCUUACCAAGGCGACGAUCUCUAGCUGUUCUGAGAGGAAGAUCAGCCACACUGGGACUGAGACACGGCCCAGACUCCUACGGGAGGCAGCAGUGGGGAAUAUUGCACAAUGGGGGAAACCCUGAUGCAGCCAUGCCGCGUGUGUGAAGAAGGCCUUCGGGUUGUAAAGCACUUUCAGUUGUGAGGAAAAGUUAGUAGUUAAUACCUGCUAGCCGUGACGUUAACAACAGAAGAAGCACCGGCUAACUCCGUGCCAGCAGCCGCGGUAAUACGGAGGGUGCGAGCGUUAAUCGGAAUUACUGGGCGUAAAGCGCACGCAGGCGGUUUGUUAAGCUAGAUGUGAAAGCCCCGGGCUCAACCUGGGAUGGUCAUUUAGAACUGGCAGACUAGAGUCUUGGAGAGGGGAGUGGAAUUCCAGGUGUAGCGGUGAAAUGCGUAGAUAUCUG